AAUAAGAAAUGCUAGUGCAAAUUUAAAAUCAUAACAUUAUCAAGAUGGUGCAGAGAAAUUUAGAAAAACUGAUAGGAAAAUUUUCUGGUCUGAAAAGCUAAUGCUACCUAUUAUCUCCCCCUAAAUAUUCUGCUAUUGAGCAACUUAUUUUUGUUAUUAACCUUAAAACAUACUAGGAGUUAAGUAUUGAUGGACAGUUGUGGUGCAGGGGCAGUGUCUUCCAGGUUUCCAGAGAUUAUAGGCACUGGCUCAGGAUGGGACAGAGGAGUAGAUGUGCUGUUUUGAAAUGGACAUGAUCAAGAAUACUUGGAAAUAAACCAUUUCCAUUCUGUGUGCUGUCCUGAUAGAUGUGCUGGGAUGUUUACUCAUAACAUACCAAAGUAACUAUGUUUACCAGUUAGAAAUGGUUUUAUUGAGGGCAAAGGAAUGAUUUUGGUAACAGCAACCACAACAAAGAAUGAAUCUGAAGCAAAGUCAUGAAGAUCAGAUAAGCUUUAUAAUUAACAACAGGUUAAAAUAAGAGAAUAAAUUUCAUAUGUAGUGUAUAUUCAGAUGUAUAGAACAACUUAGCAGUUAUCCAGAACUUUUAUUCCAUGAAUUCUCAAGCUUCAAUUUAACUUCAUAUUUUUACAUUGAUCUAGUCAUUCAUGCAUCCAGACAUUUAUUGAACGCCUGUUGUAAAUGAAUAUCAUUUCAGAAUUGGGGAUGCAAAGAUUUGGGACAUGACCAUGAGAUACAUUCUAGGUUUAUAACUAGCAAAUCCCUACCACCCGUCUCCUUUCCUCUUUGAUAUAUCAUAAAUAUAGAUGCUACAGACUCCAGUUUAGUGUAUCAUCUGCUCCCAUUGAUUUUGACAAACAGGUAGUCCAAGCUCCUUAUUCUGUUUGAGCAACUAAUUGAGAAAGAUGUAAAUACUAAUCUUGUCACCUGUUUGAUCUGUGCUGUUACCAGGCAGCAUCCAGAGCUGAUGAGUGUCUUUUAUUACUUGAUGUAAAGAAACUCCAACCUCUGGAGUGUUUCAUUAAUUAAACUUUUAAAAAUAACAUAGACACCGUGCUAUGUGGGAAUAGCUUUAAAAGGAGUGUUGGUGACAUUAAUUUAAAUUUCCAUCACAUCAGUAGUGGCUUUUUCAAAGAUAUAGGGCAACUGUAAAACUUGAUCAGAAUAUUUAGUAACACAUCUGAUAAAUAGGAUUUGCAGCCCUGGCCAGAAUUUGGUAAUUGUUGUACAUUCUAUCCAAUAGAAAGCCUUUGAGUAGCAAAGUCAGGUCAAAAAUAAAACAAAGAAGUUAAAUAACUUCUUAGUUGUUCUUGAUUGGAAACACAAAUGUUCUUAAGUAAAAAUUAGUUCUGUAUAGUCCUUGAUUAAUGCUGCAAUUUAAAUUGUCUAGCAUUGUGCUGCCGCAUCUCCGUACCCCAAAAGAAAGCAAAUAUGUGAACUGUUGCUAAGAAAAGGAGCAAACAUCAAUGAAAAAACGAAAGAAUUCUUGACUCCUCUCCACGUGGCAUCUGAGAAAGCUCAUAAUGACGUUGUCGAAGUAGUGGUGAAGCAUGAAGCAAAGGUAGACUUCCUUUUUGGUAAUCUUUGGUAAACCACUGAGUUAUUUUCUGUUGAGCAGAUGAAACUCCUGGCUUCCUAAACUGUUUACUCUCUCAUAAGUAUUACUUUUUUCCUCUUAAUCUGUACCUAAAAGUAGUCUAGCAGAUACUUUUCCUUUAUCUGAUUUUUUCCUAGAAAGCCUAAGGAUUUACUCAAAAAUACAUGCUUCCUAUA